rnacentral:rRNA from 1 species
AGCGAACGCUGGCGGCAGGCCUAACACAUGCAAGUCGAGCGGUCGUAGCAAUACGGCAGCGGCAGACGGGAGAGUAACACGUGGGAACGCGCCCUUCGGUUCGGGAUAACUCAGGGAAACUUGGGCUAAUACCGGAUACGCCCUUACGGGGAAAGAUUUAUUGCCGAAGGAACGGCCCGCGUCCGAUUAGCUUGUUGGUGAGGUAACGGCUCACCAAGGCGACGAUCGGUAGCUGGUCUGAGAGGAUGACCAGCCUCACUGGGACUGAGACACGGCCCAGACUCCUACGGGAGGCAGCAGUGGGGAAUAUUGGACAAUGGGCGCAAGCCUGAUCCAGCCAUGCCGCGUGGGUGAUGAAGGCCCUAGGGUUGUAAAGCCCUUUCAGCGGGGAAGAUAAUGACGGUACCCGCAGAAGAAGCCCCGGCUAACUUCGUGC